rnacentral:rRNA from 1 species
UUACCCACUCCCGGCACGGGGAGGUAGUGACGAAAAAUAACGAUACGGGACUCAUCCGAGGCCCCGUAAUCGGAAUGAGUACACUCUAAACCCUUUNNCGAGGAUCAAUUGGAGGGCAAGUCUGGUGCCAGCAGCCGCGGUAAUUCCAGCUCCAAUAGCGUAUAUUAAAGUUGUUGCGGUUAAAAAGCUCGUAGUCGAAUCUGUGUCCCACGCCGCCGGUUCAUCGUCCGCGGUGUCAACUGGCGUGUCGCGGGACGUCCUGCCGGUGGGCUUAGCUCGCAAGGGCGGCCCAACUCAAUCCUGCCGCGGUGCUCUUCAUUGAGUGUCGAGGUGGGCCGGCACGUUUACUUUGAACAAAUUAGAGUGCUUAAAGCAGGCUAAAACUUCGCCUGAAUACUGUGUGCAUGGAAUAAUGGAAUAGGACCUCGGUUCUAUUUUGUUGGUUUUCGGAACCCCGAGGUAAUGAUUAAUAGGAACGGAUGGGGGCAUUCGUAUUGCGACGUUAGAGGUGAAAUUCUUGGAUCGUCGCAAGACGGACAGAAGCGAAAGCAUUUGCCAAAAACGCUUUCAUUGAUCAAGAACGAAAGUUAGAGGUUCGAAGGCGAUCAGAUACCGCCCUAGUUCUAACCAUAAACGAUGCCAGCUAGCGAUCCGUCGACGUUCCUCCGAUGACUCGACGGGCAGCUUCCGGGAAACCAAAGCUUUUGGGUUCCGGGGGAAGUAUGGUUGCAAAGCUGAAACUUAAAGGAAUUGACGGAAGGGCACCACCAGGAGUGGAGCCUGCGGCUUAAUUUGACUCAACACGGGAAACCUCACCAGGCCCGGACACCGGAAGGAUUGACAGAUUGAGAGCUCUUUCUUGAUUCGGUGGGUGGUGGUGCAUGGCCGUUCUUAGUUGGUGGAGCGAUUUGUCUGGUUAAUUCCGAUAACGAACGAGACUCUAGCCUGCUAACUAGGCGUAUUUCGACAUCCCAAAGGCCCGCCG